UAAGGAAUAUUGGUCAAUGGACGCAAGUCUGAACCAGCCAUGCCGCGUGAAGGAUGAAGGUCCUCUGGAUUGUAAACUUCUUUUAUCUGGGACGAAAACGGGAUUUUUAUCUCAAUUGACGGUACCCUAUGAAUAAGCACCGGCUAACUCCGUGCCAGCAGCCGCGGUAAUACGGAGGGUGCAAGCGUUAUCCGGAUUUACUGGGUUUAAAGGGUGCGUAGGCGGGCAUGUAAGUCAGUGGUGAAAUACCGGAGCUUAACUUCGGAACUAACAUUGAUACUAUAUGACAUGAAUAUUGUGGAGGUAAGCGGAAUAUGUCAUGUAGCGGUGAAAUGCAUAGAUAUGACAUAGAACACCGAUUGCGGAGGCAGCUUGCUACGCAAAUAUUGACGCUGAGGCACGAAAGCGUGGGGAUCAA
rnacentral:rRNA from 1 species